rnacentral:rRNA from 1 species
GCACCUUCGGGUGUGAAUUAGCGGCGAACGGGUGAGGAACACGUGAAGAAUCUGCCUUCAACUCUGGGAUAACUCCGGGAAACCGGGGCUAAUACCGGAUGUGAGCCUUGAUCGCAUGAUCGGGGCUGGAAAGUUUUUCGGUUGAAGAUGACUUCGCGGCCUAUCAGCUUGUUGGUGAGGUAAUGGCUCACCAAGGCGACGACGGGUAGCCGGCCUGAGAGGGCGACCGGCCACACUGGGACUGAGACACGGCCCAGACUCCUACGGGAGGCAGCAGUGGGGAAUAUUGGGCAAUGGAGGAAACUCUGACCCAGCGACGCCGCGUGAGGGAUGAAGGCCUUCGGGUUGUAAACCUCUUUCAGUAGGGAAGAAGCGAAAGUGACGGUACCUACAGAAGGAGCACCGGCUAACUAUGUGCCAGCAGCCGCGGUAAUACAUAGGGUGCAAGCGUUGUCCGGAAUUAUUGGGCGUAAAGAGCUCGUAGGUGGUUCGAUACGUCGGAUGUGAAAAUCAGGGGCUCAACCCCUGACCUGCAUCCGAUACGGUCGAGCUAGAGUUUGGUAGGGGAGACUGGAAUUCCUGGUGUAGCGGUGGAAUGCGCAGAUAUCAGGAGGAACACCGAUGGCGAAGGCAGGUCUCUGGGCCAAUACUGACACUGAGGAGCGAAAGCGUGGGGAGCGAACAGGAUUAGAUACCCUGGUAGUCCACGCCGUAAACGGUGGGCGCUAGUUGUGCGAACCUUCCACGGUUUGUGCGACG